UAGGGAAUAUUGGUCAAUGGGGGCAACCCUGAACCAGCCAUGCCGCGUGCGGGAAGAAGGCGUUCUGCGUUGUAAACCGCUUUUAUACAGGAAGAAAAUGCUAUGCGUAGUACUAUGACGGUACUGUAUGAAUAAGCACCGGCUAACUCCGUGCCAGCAGCCGCGGUAAUACGGAGGGUGCGAGCGUUGUCCGGAAUUAUUGGGUUUAAAGGGUGCGUAGGCGGUCUUUUAAGUCAGAGGUGAAAUCCCACAGCACAACUGUGGAACUGCCUUUGAUACUGGAAGACUUGAGUAUAGUAGAGGUAGGCGGAAUUGAAGGUGUAGCGGUGAAAUGCAUAGAUAUCUUCAAGAACACCGAUUGCGUAGGCAGCUUACUGGACUAUAACUGACGCUGAGGCACGAAAGCAUGGGUAGCGAACAGGAUUAGAUACCCUGGUAGUYCAUGCCGUAAACGAUGCUCACUCGAUGUAUGCGAUACACUGUAUGCGUCCAAGCGAAAGCGUUAAAUGAGCCACCUGGGGAGU
rnacentral:rRNA from 1 species